CCUACGGGUGGCAGCAGUGGGGAAUAUUGGGCAAUGGGCGCAAGCCUGACCCAGCAACGCCGCGUGAAGGAAGAAGGCUUUCGGGUUGUAAACUUCUUUUCUCAGGGACGAAGCAAGCUACGGUACCUGAGGAAUAAGCCACGGCUAACUACGUGCCAGCAGCCGCGGUAAUACGUAGGUGGCAAGCGUUAUCCGGAUUUACUGGGUGUAAAGGGCGUGUAGGCGGGAAAGCAAGUCAGAUGUGAAAACCAUGGGCUCAACCUGUGGCCUGCCUUUGAAACUGUUUUUCUUGAGUACUGGAGAGGCAGACGGAAUGCGUGGUGUAGCGGUGAAAUGCGUAGAUAUGAGGCGGAACACCGGUGGCGAAGGCGGUCUGCUGGAGAGCAACUGACGCUGAGGCGCGAAAGCGUGGGGAGCGAACAGGAUUAGAUACCCGUGUAGUC
rnacentral:rRNA from 1 species